CAGCAGAUAGCUCAGUUGGGAGAGCACCUGACUAAGGAGUCAAGGGGGCCUGGGUUCGAAUCCCAGUCUGGUUU
rnacentral:tRNA from 1 species